rnacentral:tRNA from 2 species
GGGGCUGUAGCUCAGAGGGAGAGCGCCUCCUUGGCGUGGAGGAGGUCGCGGGUUCAAGUCCCGCCAGCUCCACCA